rnacentral:rRNA from 1 species
UACGUAGGUGGCGAGCGUUAUCCGGAUUUAUUGGGCGUAAAGGGUGCGUAGGCGGUUAAAAAAGUCUUUCGGUUAAAACUCUAAGCUUAACUUAGAGUCGCCAAGGAAACUUUUUAACUAGAGUUUAGGAGAGGUUAGUGGAAUUUCUAGUGUAGUGGUGGAAUACUUAGAUAUUAGAAGGAACACCAGUGGCGAAGGCGACUAACUGGCCAUAACUGACGCUGAGGCACGAAAGUUGGGGGAGCAAAAAG